AUUGAACGCUGGCGGCAGGCUUAACACAUGCAAGUCGAACGAGUGGCGGACGGGUGAGUAAUGCUUGGGAAUCUGGCUUAUGGAGGGGGAUAACGACGGGAAACUGUCGCUAAUACCGCGUACCAUAGGAUGAGCCCAAGUGGGAUUAGGUAGUUGGUGGGGUAAUGGCCUACCCAGGCGACGAUCUCUAGCUGGUCUGAGAGGAUGAACGGCGACAUUGGGACUGAGACACGGCCCCGACUCCUACGGGAGGCAGCAGUGGGGAAUCUUUCGCAAUGGACGAAAGUCUGACGGAGCAACGCCGGGUGAGUGAUGACGGCCUUCGGGUUGUAAAGCUCUGUUAAUCGGGAGACGGUACCGGAAUAGAAAGCCACGGCUAACUACGUGCCAGCAGCCGCGGUAAUUC
rnacentral:rRNA from 1 species